CCUACGGGUGGCAGCAGUCGAGAAUCAUUCACAAUGGGGGAAACCCUGAUGGUGCGACGCCGCGUGGGGGAAUGAAGGUCUUCGGAUUGUAAACCCCUGUCAUGUGGGAGCAAAUUAAAAAGAUAGUACCCCAAGAGGAAGAGACGGCUAACUCUGUGCCAGCACCCGCGGUAAUACAGAGGUCUCAAGCGUUGUUCGGAAUCACUGGGCGUAAAGCGUGCGGAGGCUGUUUCGUAAGUCGUGUGUGAAAGGCGCGGGCUCAACCCGCGGACGGCACAUGAUACUGGGAGACUAGAGUAAUGGAGGGGGAAGCGGAAUGCUCGGUGUAGCAGUGAAAUGCGUAGAUAUCGAGAGGAACACUCGUGGCGAAGGCGGGUUCCUGGACAUUAACUGACGCUGAGGCACGAAGGCCAGGGGAGCGAAAGGGAUUAGAUACCCGUGUAGUC
rnacentral:rRNA from 1 species